rnacentral:sRNA from 1 species
UGACAGAGAGGAUGUCACGCUUCGUUUU